rnacentral:rRNA from 1 species
UGGGGAAUCUUCCGCAAUGGACGAAAGUCUGACGGAGCAACGCCGCGUGAGUGAAGAAGGUUUUCGGAUCGUAAAACUCUGUCUUUUGGGGCGAACGUGAGUAUGGUGAACAAUCAUAGUCAGUGACGGUACCAAAGGAGGAAGCCACGGCUAACUGCGUGCCAGCAGCCGCGGUAAUACGUAGGUGGCAAGCGUUGUCCGGAAUUAUUGGGCGUAAAGAGCGCGUAGGCGGGAUAGUCAGUCUGUUGUAAAGUGCGGGGCUCAACCCCGUGAUGGCAAUGGAAACAGCUAUUCUUGAGUGCAGGAGAGGAAAGUGGAAUUCCCAGUGUAGCGGUGAAAUGCGUAGAUAUUGGGAGGAACACCAGUGGCGAAGGCGACUUUCUGGACUGUGUCUGACGCUGAGGCGCGAAAGCCAGGGGAGCGAACGGGAUUAGAUACCCCGGUAGUCCUGGCCGUAAACGAUGGGUACUAGGUGUGGGGGGUAUCGACCCCUUCCGUGCCGGAGUUAACGCAAUAAGUACCCCGCCUGGGGAGUACGGUCGCAAGACUGAAACUCAAAUGAAUUGACGGGGUCAUAGCUGUUU